UACGGAGGGAGCUAGCGUUGUUCGGAAUUACUGGGCGUAAAGCGCACGUAGGCGGCUAUUCAAGUCGGGGGUGAAAGCCCGGGGCUCAACCCCGGAACUGCCUUCGAAACUAGAUAGCUAGAAUCUUGGAGAGGCGAGUGGAAUUCCGAGUGUAGAGGUGAAAUUCGUAGAUAUUCGGAAGAACACCAGUGGCGAAGGCGACUCGCUGGACAAGUAUUGACGCUGAGGUGCGAAAGCGUGGGGAGCAAACAGG
rnacentral:rRNA from 1 species